ACCAGCUAAGGCCCCUAAAAUGCCGCUCAGUGAUAAAGGAGGUGGGGGUGCAAAGACAGCCAGGAGGUAUGCCUAGAAGCAGCCACCCUUUAAAGAGUGCGUAAUAGCUCACUGAUCGAGCGCCCUUGCGCUGAAGAUGAACGGGGCUAAGCGAUCUGCCGAAGCUGUGGGAUGUCAAAAUGCAUCGGUAGGGGAGCGUUCCGCCUUA
rnacentral:ncRNA from 1 species